rnacentral:rRNA from 1 species
UACAGAGGGUGCGAGCGUUGUCCGGAAUCACUGGGCGUAAAGGGCGCGUAGGCGGUGACUUAAGCGUGUGGUGAAAGCUCGGGGCUCAACCCCGAGUCGGCCGUGCGAACUGGGUCACUGGAGCAUGGCAGAGGCAGGCGGAAUUCCGGGUGUAGCGGUGGAAUGCGUAGAGAUCCGGAAGAACACCGGUGGCGAAGGCGGCCUGCUGGGCAGUUGCUGACACUGAGGCGCGACAGCGUGGGGAGCAAACAGG